UACGUAGGGUGCGAGCGUUGUCCGGAAUUACUGGGCGUAAAGAGCUCGUAGGCGGUCUGUCGCGUCUGCCGUGAAAACCCGAGGCUUAACCUCGGGCUGGCGGUGGAUACGGGCAGACUAGAGGUAGGUAGGGGAGAAUGGAAUUCCCGGUGUAGCGGUGAAAUGCGCAGAUAUCGGGAGGAACACCGGUGGCGAAGGCGGUUCUCUGGGCCUUACCUGACGCUGAGGAGCGAAAGCGUGGGGAGCGAACAGG
rnacentral:rRNA from 1 species